AUGUCCUCUCUUCUAAUGCUUGUAUCAUGGGAGCUGUGGAACGAGAGGAAUGUGAGGGUGUUCCAAAAGAAGGCCACGAUGCCGACCAUUGUGGUUGAUCGUAUCAAGGCGGAGGCUAGAAAUUGGGUUCUGGCCGGGGCAAAACACAUGGGAUAUUUGAUGCCGCGAGAGUAG
rnacentral:rRNA from 1 species